rnacentral:tRNA from 1 species
UGUUCUGUGGCUUAGUUGGUUAAAGAGACGGACUUGCGAAACGGAGUCGUGGGUUCGAAUCCUACCAAAAAAA